rnacentral:rRNA from 1 species
GACGAACGCUGGCGGCGUGCUUAACACAUGCAGGUCGAACGGAAAGGCCCUGCCUUUGUUGGGUGCUCGAGUGGCGAACGGGUGAGUAACACGUGGGUAACCUUCCCUUAACUUUGGGGUAACUUCAGGAAACUGGGGGUAAUACCGGAUAGUAGCUCCUGCUGUUUGGUGUGGGGUGGAAAGUUUCGGCGGUUGGGGAUGGACCCGCGGCUUAUCAGCUUGUUGGUGGGGUAGUGGCUUACCAAGGCUUUGACGGGUAGCCGGCCUGAGAGGGUGACCGGCCACAUUGGGACUGAGAUACGGCCCAGACUCCUACGGGAGGCAGCAGUGGGGAACAUUGCACAAUGGGCGGAAGCCUGAUGCAGCAACGCCGCGUGCGGGAUGACGGCCGUCGGGUUGUAAACCGCUUUCGCCUGUGACGAAGCGUGAGUGACGGUAAUGGGUAAAGAAGCACCGGCUAACUACGUG